rnacentral:ncRNA from 1 species
CCGCAGCCAGAGCGGCCCUCGGGGGAUCUGGACACUGAUAGGCCGGUAGUGCAGUGAUCGACGAAAACACCGGCAGCC